GGAGCAAUCUGCCCUUCACAUCGGAAUAACCAUUGGAAACGAUGGCUAAUACCGAAUAUGACUUCGGAUCG
rnacentral:rRNA from 1 species